rnacentral:rRNA from 1 species
GCGACAGAUAGGAGCUUCGCUCCUUUGACGUUAGCGGCGGACGGGCUGAGUAACACGUGGGUAACCUACCUAUAAGACUGGAAUAACUCCGGGAAACCGGGGCUAAUGCCGGAUAACAUUUAGAACCGCAUGGUUCUAAAGUGAAAGAUGGUUUUGCUAUCACUUAUAGAUGGACCCGCGCCGUAUUAGCUAGUUGGUAAGGUAAUGGCUUACCAAGGCAACGAUACGUAGCCGACCUGAGAGGGUGAUCGGCCACACUGGAACUGAGACACGGUCCAGACUCCUACGGGAGGCAGCAGUAGGGAAUCUUCCGCAAUGGGCGAAAGCCUGACGGAGCAACGCCGCGUGAGUGAUGAAGGGUUUCGGCUCGUAAAACUCUGUUAUUAGGGAAGAACAAACGUGUAAGUAACUGUGCACGUCUUGACGGUACCUAAUCAGAAAGCCACGGCUAACUACGUGCCAGCAGCCGCGGUAAUACGUAGGUGGCAAGCGUUAUCCGGAAUUAUUGGGCGUAAAGCGCGCGUAGGCGGUUUCUUAAGUCUGAUGUGAAACCCACGGCUC